AUUGAACGCUGGCGGCAGGCCUAACACAUGCAAGUCGAGCGAGCGGCGGACGGGUGAGUAAUGUCUGGGAAACUGCCUGAUGGAGGGGGAUAACUACUGGAAACGGUAGCUAAUACCGCAUACAAUCAGAUGUGCCCAGAUGGGAUUAGCUAGUAGGUGGGGUAACGGAUAACCUCGGCGACGAUCCCUAGCGGGUCUGAGAGGAUGACCCGCCACAAUGGAACUGAGGCACGGUACAGACGCCUACGGGGGGCAGCAGUGGGGAAUAGUGCACAGGGGGCGCAAGCCUGAUGCAGCCAUGCAGCGUGUGGGAAGAAGGCCUUCGGGUUGUAAAGCACUGUCAGCGGGGAGGCGUUACCCGCAGAAGAAGCACCGGCUAACUCCGUGCCAGCAGCCGCGGUAAUUC
rnacentral:rRNA from 1 species